CGGACUGACUUAGAAAGAGCAAGGUGAGGGCGUUAGACACCGGACUGACGUAGAAAGAGCAAGGUGAGGGCGUUAGACACCGGACUGACGUAGAAAGAGCAAGGUGAGGGCGUUAGACACCGGACUGACUUAGAAAGAGCAGGUGAGGGCGUUAGACACUGGACUGACGUAGUGAGGGCGUUAGACACCGGGCUGACGUAGAAAGAGCAAGGUGAGGGCGUUAGACACCGGACUGACGUAGAAAGAGCAAGGUGAGGGCGUUAGACACCGGACUGACUUAGAAAGAGCAGGUGAGGGCGUUAGACACUGGACUGACGUAGUGAGGGCGUUAGACACUGGACUGACGUAGAAAGAGCAAGGUGAGGGCGUUAGACACUGGACUGAUGUAGAAGGAGCAAGGUGAGGGCGUUAGACACCGGGCUGAUGUAGAAAGAGCAAGGUGAGGGCGUUAGACACCGGACUGACGUAGAAGGAGCAAGGUGAGGGCGUUAGACACCGGACUGACGUAGAAGGAGCAAGGUGAGGGCGUUAGACACCGGACUGACUUAGAAAGAGCAAGGUGAGGGCGUUAGACACCGGACUGACGUAGAAAGAGCAAGGUGAGGGCGUUAGACACUGGACUGAUGUAGAAGGAGCAAGGUGAGGGCGUUAGACACCGGACUGAUGUAGAAGGAGCAAGGUGAGGGCGUUAGACACUGGACUGAUGUAGAAGGAGCAAGGUGAGGGCGUUAGACACCGGACUGAUGUAGAAGGAGCAAGGUGAGGGCGUUAGACACUGGACUGAUGUAGA